CCCGCUGGCCUGGCCGUGCCGGCCCCGUCGAGGCUGCACUCCCUCCACUCCUCCGCCGCCUCCUGCAUCGAGGUGCUCGCCGCCCCCGCCUUCCCCUACCUCCGCGGCUGGUCCUUCCACUUCGACGCGCCGGACACCCACCACCCCAAGGUGUGCGUGCAAACGAGCACCUCCGCAGGCCUGGACCAGAUCCUGCCGUGGCUCUUCUACCGCAAGGUCGUCGGCGUCGCGCACUUUUUGCUCUUUGUCGAGGGCAAGGCGGCCAAGCCCAGUGUCGCCGGGGUCCUCGAGUCCAUCCCCGGGGUGAAGGUGGUGUACAGGACCAAGGAGCUUGAGGAGCAGCAGGCCAGGUGGUCCGAAACAAUCUUCGCCCCGAAUCUGGAAUGA
rnacentral:rRNA from 1 species